rnacentral:rRNA from 1 species
UACAGAGGUCUCAAGCGUUGUUCGGAUUCAUUGGGCAUAAAGGGUGCGUAGGCGGCGCGGUAAGUCGGGUGUGAAAUCUUGGAGCUUAACUCCGAAACUGCAUUCGAUACUGCCGUGCUUGAGGACUGGAGAGGAGACUGGAAUUUACGGUGUAGCGGUGAAAUGCGUAGAUAUCGUAAGGAAGACCAGUGGCGAAGGCGGGUCUCUGGACAGUUCCUGACGCUGAGGCACGAAGGUCAGGGGGAGCAAACGGG